rnacentral:rRNA from 1 species
CCGGCACGGGUGAGUAACGCGUAUGCAACUUGCCUAUCAGGAGGGGAGAACCCGGCGAAAGUCGGACUAAUACCGCAUGAAGCAGGGGCCCCGCAUGGGGGAUAUUUGCUAAAGAUUCAUCGCUGAUAGAUAGGCAUGCGUUCCAUUAGGCAGUUGGCGGGGUAACGGCCCACCAAACCGACGAUGGAUAGGGGUUCUGAGAGGAAGGUCCCCCACAUUGGUACUGAGACACGGACCAA